CUCUGCCCAAUACUUCUUAGGCCUCCCUCUACCUCGCCGACCGCCAACAAUCUCCAGCCUCUCGCAGCUCCUUACCGGGGCAUCCGGGCCCCUCAUCCGAACGUGUCCAAACCACCUCAGUCUCGCUUCUCGCAUCUUUUCAUCCACUGGGGCCACCCCUACCUUCUCUCUGAUAACUUCUUUCUUAAUCCUAUCUAGUCUGGUGUGCCCGCACAUCCACCUAAGCAUCCUCAUCUCCGCAACC
rnacentral:lncRNA from 1 species